ensembl:lncRNA
GGAGGGAGCUGCUCUUGCAUAUUGCCCGGGGGAGUCCGCCGCGCAGAGCUUGGCAGCCAACGGAGAAGCCGGGCUGAGGAUCUGCUUGGACGGUGGAGGGCAUGUCCCCGCAGAGCACAGUAGGAGCUGUUGGGGGAUCCUUGGAAAGGAUGGAAGGCGCGGAGGUGGUCAAGGGAGGGUCCGGCGCUGCCUGCUCCCAGGGGCCGGUAGAGAUGAGAAAGGGAAGCCGGAGGGGUCCCCGCAUCCCUGGAGAGGGGUGAGGCUCCCACAGUUUUGAGCAAACUCUGCUGGGCCUCCUGUCCCUGGAUUUUUGGAGUUGAAUCCAAGAAUGAUGAAGAGUCUGAAAAGCUCCACCUCCACCUGCUUUGCUGAGGGAACAAGAGGCUGACACUGUCAUCGGUGAGCGAGGGUGUCUCCAGGGAGUCAGGCUGGGGAGAGGCUGAAAGAUCGUGA